rnacentral:rRNA from 1 species
UAGGGAAUCUUCCGCAAUGGACGAAAGUCUGACGGAGCAACGCCGCGUGAGCGAAGAAGGCCUUCGGGUCGUAAAGCUCUGUUGUUAGGGAAGAACAAGUACGAGAGUAACUGCUCGUACCUUGACGGUACCUAACCAGAAAGCCACGGCUAACUACGUGCCAGCAGCCGCGGUAAUACGUAGGUGGCAAGCGUUGUCCGGAAUUAUUGGGCGUAAAGCGCGCGCAGGUGGUUCUUUAAGUCUGAUGUGAAAGCCCACGGCUCAACCGUGGAGGGUCAUUGGAAACUGGGGAACUUGAGUGCAGAAGAGGAAAGUGGAAUUCCAAGUGUAGCGGUGAAAUGCGUAGAGAUUUGGAGGAACACCAGUGGCGAAGGCGACUUUCUGGUCUGUAACUGACACUGAGGCGCGAAAGCGUGGGGAGCAAACA